GGGUCAGUAGGUUGGUCGUGCCACCGGUACGUACUGGUCUCACUGAUUCCUCCUUCCUGAAGAACCGUAAUGCCAUUAAUUUGGUGUUGCGGGGAAACAGGACUGUUACUUUGAAAAAUUUAGGGUGUUUAAAGCAAGCUAACGCUUGAAUACAUUAGCAUGGAAUAAUGAAAUAGGACGAUCGAUCCUAUUUUGUUGGCUUCUAGGAUUGACGUA
rnacentral:rRNA from 1 species